UGCUGACUGACACUGAGCUUGUGCAGAUUUGUACUCAGCAAAGAACUAUGAACCGAGGCAAAGUGAAGUGGAAUCUGAGAACUGCUCUACUUUGACUGUGAAGCGCAGCGGUUAACGUCAGCCUGUGGGCAAGCGUCAACACGUGUGAGGUGUGUCCGCAGAAAUAAAUGAAGUUGUGCCACACAAAGCUUGUUCACUGAGAGGAUAAAAAAUAUUGCCAUUACUGAAAGGAGCUAUUUAUGCCGGAUGAGGAGUUCCGUGGAGAAGCGCUGCACUCUGGGAAAGCGUGGAAGAUCCAGGGAGCGUGAGCUCAAGUCUAGAUCCUAACAGGAUCUGCCUGAUAUCUUUAUGUUAUAGAUGUCAAUGUGACCAUUUUCAUUGAUAUACAUGAUCUAUAUCAGGGUUUUGCAAACCCCAGAGGGUUUGCGAGUUGAUGAACAGCUAAUAAUUAAAUAAUUAAAAAAUAAAAAUAA